GGGGUUGUAGCUCAGUGGCAGAGCACUUGCUUAGCAUGUGUGAGGCAUUGGUUCAAUCCUCAGCACCA
rnacentral:tRNA from 1 species